CAGUAGCCACGGGAAUACGAAGGGGGCUAGCGUUGUUCGGAAUUACUGGGCGUAAAGGGCGCGUAGGCGGCCAUUCAAGUUAGAUGUGAAAGCCCUGGGCUCAACCUAGGAAUUGCAUUUGAUACUGUUUGGCUUGAGUUCGGGAGAGGUGAGUGGAAUUCCCAGUGUAGAGGUGAAAUUCGUAGAUAUUGGGAAGAACACCAGUGGCGAAGGCGGCUCACUGGACCGACACUGACGCUGAGGCGCGAAAGCGUGGGGAGCAAACAGGAUUAGAUACCCCUGUAGUCCCUGUCUCUUAUAC
rnacentral:rRNA from 1 species